UAAGAUGGCUGAGAUAGGCGGUGGUUUGUAGCCCCACAUACAAAGGUUUAAACCUUUUCUUAC
rnacentral:tRNA from 1 species